rnacentral:rRNA from 1 species
CGCUGAACUAAGCAUAUCAAUAAGCGGAGGA